rnacentral:rRNA from 1 species
CCUACGGGAGGCAGCAGUAGGGAAUCUUCCACAAUGGGCGAAAGCCUGAUGGAGCAACGCCGCGUGGGUGAAGAAGGUCUUCGGAUCGUAAAACCCUGUUGUUAGAGAAGAAAGUGCGUGAGAGUAACUGUUCACGUUUCGACGGUAUCUAACCAGAAAGCCACGGCUAACUACGUGCCAGCAGCCGCGGUAAUACGUAGGUGGCAAGCGUUAUCCGGAUUUAUUGGGCGUAAAGGGAACGCAGGCGGUCUUGUAAGUCUGAUGUGAAAGCCCUCGGCUUAACCGGAGUAGUGCAUUGGAAACUGGGAGACGUGAGUGCAGGAGAGGAGAGUGGAACUCCAUGUGUAGCGGUGAAAUGCGUAGAUAUAUGGAAGAACACCAGUGGCGAAAGCGGCUCUCUGGUCUGUAACUGACGCUGAGGUUCGAAAGCGUGGGUAGCAAACAGGAUUAGAUACCCGUGUAGUC